rnacentral:rRNA from 1 species
UACGUAGGGUGCGAGCGUUAAUCGGAGUUACUGGGCGUAAAGGGUGCGCAGGCGGCCCUGCGCGUCGCGAGUGAAAUCUCCCGGCUCAACUGGGAGGGUGGUCGCGAGACGGCAGGGCUUGAGGCUCGGUGAGGGGCGUGGAAUUCCGGGUGGAGCGGUGAAAUGCGUAGAGAUCCGGAGGAACACCAACGGCGUAGGCAGCGCCCUAGACGAGACCUGACGCUCAGGCACGAAAGCGCGGGGAGCGAACAGG